GGCUGCGCGGGUCCACGUCCACUGCUCCUUCUCCUUCUUUCUGGGAGGUCCGGGUGGCUGUGCCGAGUUUCUGUUGCCCUUCGGCCUGAAGGUACUGGAAGGGAAAUCGGGAGGACCCGCAGGUACCUCGGAAGCCGGGAAAUGGACUCAAUGGCUUUUGAGGAUGUGGCUGUGAACUUUACGCAAAAGGAGUGGGCUUUGUUGACUUCUUCCCAGAAGAAUCUCUACAGAGAUGUAAUGCAGGAAACCUUAAGGAAUUUGGCUUCUGUAGGAAGCAAAUGGGAAGACCAGAACAUUGACAAUUACUACAGAAAUUCUUGAAGAAAUCUAAGUUCCAUUUGGUGACAUAAAAUAACUC